rnacentral:rRNA from 1 species
UACGUAGGUGGCAAGCGUUGUUCGGAAUUACUGGGCGUAAAGCGCGCGUAGGCGGCUCUUCAAGUCAGGCGUGAAAGCCCCGGGCUUAACUCGGGAACUGCGUUUGAUACUGUCGAGCUAGAGUGUGGAAGGGGCGAUUGGAAUUCCGUGUGUAGCGGUGAAAUGCGUAGAUAUACGGAGGAACACCAGAGGCGAAGGCGGAUCGCUGGGCCAACACUGACGCUGAUGUGCGAAAGCGAGGGGAGCAAACGGG